GGAAUUUUGGACAAUGGGCGAAAGCCUGAUCCAGCAAUGCCGCGUGAGUGAAGAAGGCCUUCGGGUUGUAAAGCUCUUUUGUCAGGGAAGAAACGGUGAGAGCUAAUAUCUUUUGCUAAUGACGGUACCUGAAGAAUAAGCACCGGCUAACUACGUGCCAGCAGCCGCGGUAAUACGUAGGGUGCAAGCGUUAAUCGGAAUUACUGGGCGUAAAGCGUGCGCAGGCGGUUUUGUAAGUCUGAUGUGAAAUCCCCGGGCUCAACCUGGGAAUUGCAUUGGAGACUGCAAGGCUAGAAUCUGGCAGAGGGGGGUAGAAUUCCACGUGUAGCAGUGAAAUGCGUAGAUAUGUGGAGGAACACCGAUGGCGAAGGCAGCCCCCUGGGUCAAGAUUGACGCUCAUGCACGAAAGCGUGGGGAGCAAACAGGAUUAGAUACCCGGG
rnacentral:rRNA from 1 species